rnacentral:rRNA from 1 species
GACGAACGCUGGCGGCGUGCUUAACACAUGCAAGUCGAACGGAAAGGCCCUGCUUUUGUGGGGUGCUCGAGUGGCGAACGGGUGAGUAACACGUGAGUAACCUGCCCUUGACUUUGGGAUAACUUCAGGAAACUGGGGCUAAUACCGGAUAGGAGCUCCUGCUGCAUGGUGGGGGUUGGAAAGUUUCGGCGGUUGGGGAUGGACUCGCGGCUUAUCAGCUUGUUGGUGGGGUAGUGGCUUACCAAGGCUUUGACGGGUAGCCGGCCUGAGAGGGUGACCGGGCACAUUGGGACUGAGAUACGGCCCAGACUCCUACGGGAGGCAGCAGGGGGGAAUAUUGCACAAUGGGCGGAAGCCUGAUGCAGCAACGCCGCGUGCGGGAUGACGGCCUUCGGGUUGUAAACCGCUUUCGCCUGUGACGAAGCGUGAGUGACGGUAAUGGGUAAAGAAGCACCGGCUAACUACGUGC